CGGGCCCCGCCCCGUCCCAUUUCCUAGCCCCGCCUCUGGAAUCCCCGCCCCAUCCGCCAUUUUGGCCCCGCCCCAGUGGCUCCUCCCCUUGGUCUGGCUGAGGCGCUCUGCCCCGGCUGGGUGGGUCCCUGAGUGCUCGUUUUUCGUUUUCCGUCAGAGGCCGACCUUUUUCUCUGGAACGCACAAGCCAGGUCCAAAAGUUCCUUCAGGGCCUCCAGGAACCACUAACCAACGUCCCUGUUGACCUCAGUUUCGGGCCUGUGAAAUAAAUUGGAACUGGAAGUUCUGCAGGCUGCCUCAGCUCUAAAAAAGCCCAUUUCUGUAUGUCGGCCGUUUAUCCUCAGUCUCUUGCAAUUUCCUUUGAGAACAGCCAGUUAAAAAGAAGUGAGUGGCAGGAUGCUGGAAAAUGGAAAAUACAUCCAAAGAUGACUGGCCAGUAAAUGAAUGGGGUACAGAAUUUAUUAAUCUGUGCAAGCAAACUUUGCCUCCAUGGAGGGUGCUCUGGUAAACUACUGCAGAAAAUUCCAGCUCUCCUAGACUUCAGGACCUGCAUGCUUACGUGUGCCUGCCAAGGUAUAACUGGUCCAGCACACAGGGCUCCCUCACACAACCAGCUGCAGGAUCAGGCUCCUAUGAAUGGAGGAAAGAAGCUACAGCCUUAG
ensembl:lncRNA